rfam:Picea glauca, whole genome shotgun sequence.
AUGUACAUGCCUACAACAUAGCGUUAAUGCACCAGAUCCCAUUAGAACUCUGCAAUUAAUCACUCUCAGGCCAGAGUAGUACUGGGAUGGGUGACCUCCCGGGAAGUCCUAGUGUUUUACAUC